CCAUCCCUCCCCGUGCGCUCCCCCCAAAGCAACGCUGCUCCACCUCCUGCGCCUCCGUACGCGUUCCCUUCCUCUCGCAAAUCGCGGCCGCCGAGCAAGCCCUUCCCUCGUGACGAGAGAGACGAGGUAUAUGGGCAGCGACAGCGAGAAUAAGAAAUCCGUGGAGAGGAAGAAGCCGAUGGCCGUCGCACCCAUCGCCAAGCCCCUGGCCGGCAAGAAUCUCUGCAAGCGCACCCUAAGCUCGUCCGACGAGCUGCGGAGGCCAAGAGCUUGAAACGGGGACUGAAGGAAGUAGUAAAGAGUGUCCGCCGUGGUCAUAAAGGAUUGUGUUAUAGCUGGAAACAUUUCUCCUAUUGAUGUGAUUACACAUGUGCCCAUCUUGUUGGAGGAAGCUGACAUUCCUUAUAUUUAUGUUCCUUCAAAGGAGGGGUCACCAAGAGGCCGACAUGUUGUGUAUUUGUUCUAACCAAGCCAACCAAAGGGGAAUUGGUCCAAGAGGGACAAGAGAAGUUGCAGGCAGAUUACAACCAGGUCGUAGCAGACGUAAAGGAGCUAACAACUUCCCUUUUCUGAGUGGCAAUAGUCUAAACCCAUCUCACAUGCCUUGUAUGCAUCUAAUGGAAUUAUCAUAUUUGUUCUGUUUCAUCCGAGUUGCCAGUACUGAUACUUGGGAAAGAAUCAUGGAGACUGAAUGCGAUAUUAUGCAAUUUUUCUGGAUGUCAUGUUAUGUUAUUGUUUGGUCUGUAUGUUGGCUUAUGAUCAGUUUCAUCAACUUUAUGGUCUAUCCGUCAGUAGCUGGAGAAGCUUUACCUUAAAGUUAGAGAUGAGGAUUUAUUGCA